GUAGGGCCGGGGCAGGGUCUUCACGGCCUCCCCGGCACCCAGGGAGCGGUAGGAGCCGGGCAGCGGCUUGUGUCCUCGGUACUAGCGCGCGGCGGAGCUUCCCUCCCUCAGGGUGUCUGUCCCCUGCCCUGAGGGGGUCUAAUUCCCUCUGGGGGAUGGAGGUCCCGGCCACCUCCCAGUAAGCAAACUGACCCUCGAAGUGAGCUCCAUCUGGAACGGAUCGAGUUGUCCUUCAUUUCUUCAGACUAACAGGCACUGUGCAGAAGAGAAAGCAAGAAUUAAAUUCUCUGGGAGGGAAGCUUCAUGUAUUUGAGGAAGUGCUAAGCAUCAGGAGGUUAUUUAGAAAGUAUGGGAAGUGCAUGGAGCUGUCAUCCACCCCAGCGCCGUCACACAGUCACGGGAUCCCAGAGUCAAGCCCACUCUUCUUCACCUCCUUCUUUGGUUUCUCUCUGGCUGUCAAGCACAGGCUCCUCCUUUUUUUGCACAUCUUCUCUGUAUACAAGGCCAACCUGCAGACAAUGGGGAAUACCCAACUUUAAGCCGAUUUGUCCAUGUGAAAUAGACUAAUUUUUGUUGUGAAAUAAGUGAAGAGGAGAAAAGACAGCAAAAUAGCCAACGCUCAGAGUGACAAC